rnacentral:rRNA from 1 species
GACGAACGCUGGCGGCGUGCCUAAUACAUGCAAGUCGAACGCAGUGGGUACGGGUGAGUAACACGUGGUUAACCUCCCAUCCGAGGGGAUAACACUUGGAAACCGGUUCUAAACCGAUACUGCUGUAUGUACCCUCGGUGCAUUAGCUAGUUGGGGAGGUAACGGCUCACCAAGGCCACGAUGCAUAGCCGACUUGGUGGGUGGUUCGGCCAACGUGGGAAGUGUACACGGCCCGGACUCCGACGGGAGGAAGCGUUAGGGAAUCUUCGGCAAUGGACGAAAGUUGGACCGCGCAACGCCGCGUGAGGGAAAAGGGUUUUCGGACCGUAAAACUCUGUUGUUAGAGAAGCGGUAUUUAACCAGAAAGCCACGGCUAACUACGUGCCAGCAGCCGCGGUAAUAC